rnacentral:rRNA from 1 species
UACGGGGGGGGCAAGCGUUGUUCGGAAUUACUGGGCGUAAAGGGCUCGUAGGCGGCCAACUAAGUCAGACGUGAAAUCCCUCGGCUUAACCGGGGAACUGCAUCUGAUACUGGAUGGCUUGAGUUCGGGAGAGGGAUGCGGAAUUCCAGGUGUAGCGGUGAAAUGCGUAGAUAUCUGGAGGAACACCGGUGGCGGAAGGCGGCGAUCCUGGACCGACACUGACGCUGAGGAGCGAAAGCCAGGGGAGCAAACGGG